AGAUUAAGUUAUUAAGGGCGCACGGUGGAUGCCUUGGCACUAGAAGCCGAUGAAGGACGUUACUAACGACGAUAUGCUUUGGGUAGCUGUAAGUAAGCGUUGAUCCAGAGAUUUCCGAAUGGGGGAACCCAGCAUGAGUUAUGUCAUGUUAUCGACAUGUGAAUUCAUAGCAUGUCAGAAGGCAGACCCGGAGAACUGAAACAUCUUAGUACCCGGAGGAAGAGAAAGAAAAAUCGAUUCCCUGAGUAGCGGCGAGCGAAACGGGAAGAGCCCAAACCAACAAGCUUGCUUGUUGGGGUUGUAGGACACUCUAUACGGAGUUACAAAAGAACAUGUUAGACGAAUCAUCUGGAAAGAUGAAUCAAAGAAGGUAAUAAUCCUGUAGUCGAAAACAUAUUCUCUCUUGAGUGGAUCCUGAGUACGACGGAGCACGUGAAAUUCCGUCGGAAUCUGGGAGGACCAUCUCCUAAGGCUAAAUACUCUCUAGUGACCGAUAGUGAACCAGUACCGUGAGGGAAAGGUGAAAAGUACCCCGGAAGGGGAGUGAAAGAGAACUUGAAACCGUGUGCUUACAAGUAGUCAGAGCCCGUUAAUGGGUGAUGGCGUGCCUUUUGUAGAAUGAACCGGCGAGUUACGAUCUGAUGCAAGGUUAAGCAGCAAAUGUGGAGCCGCAGCGAAAGCGAGUCUGAAUAGGGCGUUGAGUAUUUGGUCGUAGACCCGAAACCAGGUGAUCUACCCUUGGUCAGGUUGAAGUUCAGGUAACACUGAAUGGAGGACCGAACCGACUUACGUUGAAAAGUGAGCGGAUGAACUGAGGGUAGCGGAGAAAUUCCAAUCGAACUUGGAGAUAGCUGGUUCUCUCCGAAAUAGCUUUAGGGCUAGCCUCAAGUGAUGAUUAUUGGAGGUAGAGCACUGUUUGGACGAGGG
rnacentral:rRNA from 1 species